UGAUCAUUAUCAAGGCUUUUGGAAUGCAGUUUCUCAAUUGCUGUGGACAUGACCCUAAAAAAAGACUUUCCACUAGGUUUUCUAUCUGCUACUUUGAAAGAACUCAGCCUACUGGGAACAUUU